CUUAGAAAAUUUUGCCUGAGAUGCCACAGCCAAAAGUGGUAGAGCUAGGACCAAUCCAUUUCCUUAGCCCCACGUCUGUUCCUCUUUCCUAAAAUAUCCUUCCUGGAAUUGAAAUGGACUUGAAAUCCAUUUUACUAAACUGAAUCUGAAGUGUUGAGUUUAAUUGAUAAAAAAAAAAUGUACUCCACUCAGUAGAUGUCAUUUCAAUCUUUUUGACCUCAGAGUUGUAUUUUAGGGGAAAGAAAUUAUUUCAACUUAAGUUACGUGCAUACUGCUCCUUAAGUCUUUGUUUAACGUGGUUGUCUAUUGGCAGUGGUUUUACCCAUCUCCCUGAAGGAUUUGCAAAUCUAGAGCAGGGUAGGGGGAGGAGAGAUUUGCCCUGGGGAACUACUAGCAUUUAAUACUCUAGGAGUCAGAGGAGGUAAAUAUUAUGUAAUGCACAGGGCAUAGGACAGUCCCUUACAAUGAAGAACGCCACCCCAAACACCAACAAAUGCAAGUAAUAACAUUUCUUCUUCCAGAUAUUGAAGACUACUUUGCCCAAAGUUAGGAUGCAUGGAUCCUUUAUAAAAUUCCAUUCUGGUUCUAUUGUAAUAAGAAUUCUUUUUGUAUUUAUUGCUCCUUGUUUACCUUCUCUCUCUCUCUCUCUCUCUCUCUCUCUCUCUCUCUAAGUUUAAAUACAACUGAACUGUUCACUGAAUUUUACUUAUUGAAGCAAAUCUAUGGUAAUUACUCUUUCAUGACUAGGAAAUAGAAAGGAGGGGGAGCACAUUCAAAAAAACAGUUUGUUCUGUUGCUGGCAGGAGCUAUCCACCAUCCAAAAAGAUUCAUAGAGUACAGAUGUCCUUGGGCUAAACAGUUUGCAUGUGUUGAUCCAAGGUUUGAUAAACGUGUCUCUCAUAAGUCACACUGAUUACUUUGUUUAUUAUAAUCUUCAUUCAACUGAUGUGAGCAGAUUAGAAUUCAUCACACUCCACAGAUAUGUUAUUCAUUUGAAUAAUUAGUUUAUUAAAAAUAAAAUAUUGACUGUAAUGUUGACUUACUUUCAUGAUAAAAAUCUUCAACUUAAUACAGAUUCAUUUCUUGUCUCCAGGCAACAUAGAUUGUGAGGUAUAUUUGAAAGAUUCAGUCUGAUUUAAUAUGAGCAGUUUGCAUGAUACGAAUCUACAUCACAUUUAAAUUCCUAAUUUGUGUUAUUAAGGUGAAUUUCAAAGAUCAAAAUAAAUGGACCUAUUUUAUAGAAGAAAAAUAGUCAACAGCUGUUACUUGGUACUAUUCUUUCUUUUAGUAUAUACUACUACUAUUAAACAUGAUAAAC
rnacentral:lncRNA from 1 species